UUUGUAGUGACAGAUGAAUGUGUAGGAUUUAAGAUCCUAAGAUGUGGAAGCACCUACAAAA
rnacentral:tRNA from 1 species